rfam:Stegodyphus mimosarum contig6059, whole genome shotgun sequence.
GCCUUCGUGGCGUAGUGGUCAGUACACUCGACGCGUAAAGGAGAGGUCCGUGGUUCGAGUCCCGGCGAAGGCU